CUCGGGUGGAGCCGCGCGCGCAGUGUGGAGCGAUGACGUCACCGGGGAGUCGUUUUAACAGGAGCAGUGGGCCAUUACUUCCUGCGCGCGCACUAACUAACUACACCCUGUACUGUUCACUCCAUCCACCUGUACAGUUUCCCUUCACUGCAACUAAGAUUUCCAAACCCUGCUCCAUCAUGAUGUCCCUGUGCACAAAGCAGCUCCAUGAAGAAAGACAUGGUGUGGAGGUAAAGCUUGGAGAAAGUGGAAGAUCUGGAGUGUCCUGCACAGAGCCCUGACUCGGACUCAACCCCACUGAACAACUUUGGGAUGAGUCUCGUCAACGUCCCAACAUCAGAAUCUGAUCUCACUAAUGCUCUUGUAGCUGAAUGAACACACAUACUGUACGCUCUAGGAUCUAGUGGAAAAACCUUCACAGAGUGUAGAGCAUGUUUGAAUAGAACAUUAUUAUCAAAUAUAUGUAAAGAUGAGUGUUGGGACGUAACCAGCUCAUGAGCGUUACGGUGCUGUAGUUCUUUAGGCAACACACUCAUUUUAUCUCAACACAACAAAAGCCUCAGUGAUGUCGUGGUGGUGUUUCGAUGGAACGAUUAUGACUUGCUGUAUCCCUUACAUCUUUACUUUUGAUUGAACCGAAUUGCAAAGACACAAUUCCAUUUUUGCAUAAUAUUUUAAUGUUGGCUAAAAUGAAGAGCUUCGACACUUUUACACGACUAACAAACACAACUGUGAGUGAACACAUGUUGGUCCGUAUCUGCUACCAAGAUCUCCACUGUUGCUACCUCAGGCCAGCUGAGUACAUACACACACACACACACACACACACACACACAUAUAUAUA